GUCCACGCCAUAAACGAUGAGAACUGGAUGUCGGGAGGGUCUGCCUCUCGGUGUCGUAGCUAACGCGUUAAGUUCUCCGCCUGGGGAGUACGGCCGCAAGGUUGAAACUCAAAUGAAUUGACGGGGACCCGCACAAGCGGUGGAGCAUGUGGUUUAAUUCGAUGCAACGCGAAGAACCUUACCUGGUCUUGACAUCCUAGGAAUCCUUCAGAGAUGAGGGAGUGCCUUAGGGAACCUGGAGACAGGUGCUGCAUGGCUGUCGU
rnacentral:rRNA from 1 species